rnacentral:tRNA from 2 species
UCCCGCUUAGCUCAGUGGUAGAGCGCAUCACUUGUAAUGAUGAGGUCGCUCGUUCGAUCCGGGUAGUGGGAA